ACAUAUUCCUGGUUCGAACGAUGCUCGUGUUCGAGCCACAGGCAAAUAUUUGUUUUUCGCAUUAUUUUUCUUUUCAAGCAUAAUUGAUCGGAAAUAUAAAUAUUGAUGCCUUUGUGAUUAUCGUCAAGUUGUCGGCGCUUUUCAUACGUUUCGCUUUGACUUCAGCAUCAAUAUUAAAAUUUGAUUUCAACUCUUUGUCAUCGUCGCGAGAUUCUAUAAGAGGCCAAAGUGGGAUCUUCGAAAAAAUAAAGAAAUUAUGUUCGAAUAAGUACUGGAGUAAUUUUUGAAAACUUUAUAAAGUUGUGAGUUUACAUCUUGUGUUUGCUCGUGCUUAUGUAAUUACUGCUAACGGUCAAAAUGAUAAGAAGUGAAGAUUUGUUGGUGAUAAUGCCGGCAUCGCUUGAAGUGCAUUAAAUAUAGUUAUUACCAGAAAUGAGCACGACCACAACCAAACGACUCUCACAAAAUGACAUUGUGUUAGUGCGCUUACAGUGUGACAAAGCAAAUCAGCGGGUCUAUGCCGGACUGAAUAUAUGCACGUGCAACUGAAUGUAUCAAAAUUAAUAUUAUUUCAGGUUGAGUGAGAGAGAUUUGAAAAAGGGACUAACAUAUAUGACAUUUUAUCGAGUAAGAAUUAUAGCAUUGACAGACGCAGGGCUGAUUUGCAUUAGCGGGUUUGAUUUGCAUUAUCAGUGUCAUAUCAAUGCACAAAAUUUUCUUACAUUUAGCUGAAUUGACCAAAUUUAAAUAAAGGUACAAAAACAUAAACAUAUGAUUUAAGGAUAGCGUCAGAGGACGACCAGCGACGAAAAUGUGCUGUAAGAUUUGCGCCACGCUAAGCGUAAUUUGCAUAUUUAUGCAAAUAUAUCUGUGCAACUGGCUAAUCAAUUGACACCAAAGGAAGUGCAU